UAUUUUGCCGACCGAAGUACAUUUUACCGACGCAAUCGACUAGGAAGGUCUUAAAGAUCAACAGGUUGGCCACUGACUUAGCUCACGGCACAACUCCCACUUAAGUCUUCCUUUUAUUCUCUUCUGUUCUCGGUCUUAUUUCAAAAAUGAUUCCAUGUUUUGGGUCUUUUGACCCCAUAAUAUCUUACUCACACAAUAUUAUGAAAAACAUUAAAUAAUUCCCACUGUAGUUUAUCAUCAUGACUGUACCAUGAACUUUUUCUUCCCAUUAAUUUCUCACAUCCCCAGCGAUAUGGGUUUGAUUCCCAGCUGUAUUCAUGGAGUUUGCUCAUCCUCCCUCUUCCAUCCCAAGAACAUGGGAACAUGGGGUGAAUGAUGUCCACGUGUGGAUUGGCAUCCCUUCUAGGUCAUUCCGCUACCAGGUGUCCUGUGCUUCUUGGAACAGGCUUUGCAUCUCCCUCCUGGAUAAGCAUUAUGAAAAAUGGAUUGAUAUACAUUUAUGAUGUGUUGGCCACCUGUGCAUGUAUACAGUUUAAUGAUGUACUCUGGUGCCAUUGUUGAAGUAUUCUAGUGUUUUUCCCCAAGUACACUAUUGUUGUACACACCAAACCUGGUCUUUAAAAUUAAAUUUUAUUUAGCUGA